GGAUGUCCAUGAAAUCUGACUGAGAUGUCUGUCACCCAACUAAUGUGGCUGGCUAGGCACGUGUCACUGCUCCACGUGUAUCCCCCUUGAUUUGCAUAGUUGGCUGAAGACAAUAAUCUUCUCCAAUAAAGGAGAACCAUUCUUGAGUCAAGGGUACGUGAGUAACUGCACUCCCCUGGUAGAACCACCAAACAAGCUCUCAAGGACCCAAUAACAAACUGUGUAUGUGCCUGUGAAUAGAUGGAAAUAACAUAUGGAUGUUAAUUUCCUGAUUUUCAUGGUUUAUUAUUAU
rnacentral:snRNA from 1 species